CAUGCAAGUCGAGCGAGAAAGUAUCUUCGGAUAUGAGUAGAGCGGCGGACGGGUGAGUAACGCGUAGGAAUCUACCUAGUAGAAGGGGAUAGCCCGGGGAAACUCGGAUUAAUACCGUAUACCUCCUUAGGGAGAAAGAGGGCCUCUCUUUGAUGCUCUCGCUACUAGAUGAGCCUGCGUAAGAUUAGCUAGUUGGUGAGGUAAUGGCUCACCAAGGCGACGAUCUUUAGCUGGUCUGAGAGGACGAUCAGCCACAUUGGGACUGAGACACGGCCCAGACUCCUACGGGAGGCAGCAGUAGGGAAUAUUGGACAAUGAGCGCAAGCUUGAUCCAGCCAUACCGCGUGUGUGAAGAAGGCCUUCGGGUUGUAAAGCACUUUAAGCAGGGAGAAAAAGUUAUAGGCUAAUACCCUAUGACCGUGAUGUUACCUGCAGAAUAAGCACCGGCUAAUUCCGUGCCAGCAGCCGCGGUAAUACGGAAGGUGCAAGCGUUAAUCGGAAUUACUGGGCGUAAAGCGCGCGUAGGUGGUUUGUUAAGUUGGAUGUGAAAGCCCUGGGCUCAACCUAGGAACUGCAUCCAAAACUAACUCACUAGAGUAC
rnacentral:rRNA from 1 species